CAGCAGCCACGGUAAUACGGAGGGGGCUAGCGUUGUUCGGAAUUACUGGGCGUAAAGCGCACGUAGGCGGCUUUGUAAGUCAGAGGUGAAAGCCUGGAGCUCAACUCCAGAAUUGCCUUUGAGACUGCAUCGCUUGAACGUCGGAGAGGUGAGUGGAAUUCCGAGUGUAGAGGUGAAAUUCGUAGAUAUUCGCAAGAACACCAGUGGCGAAGGCGGCUCACUGGCCCGAUACUGACGCUGAGGCACGAAAGCGUGGGGAGCAAACAGGAUUAGAUACCCCGGUAGUCCCUGUCUCUUAUCC
rnacentral:rRNA from 1 species